AUUAAGAUGUCUGAUUAAAGUGAUAAAUUGUAAAUUUAUUUAAAAAUGUUCAACCGUUUUCUUAAU
rnacentral:tRNA from 1 species